AUUGAACGCUGGCGGAAUGCUUUACACAUGCAAGUCGAACGGCAGCGCGGGGGCAACCCUGGCGGCGAGUGGCGAACGGGUGAGUAAUGCAUCGGAACGUGCCCAGUCGUGGGGGAUAACGUAGCGAAAGCUACGCUAAUACCGCAUACGAUCUGAGGAUGAAAGCGGGGGACCUUCGGGCCUCGCGCGAUUGGAGCGGCCGAUGGCAGAUUAGGUAGUUGGUGGGGUAAAGGCUCACCAAGCCUGCGAUCUGUAGCUGGUCUGAGAGGACGACCAGCCACACUGGGACUGAGACACGGCCCAGACUCCUACGGGAGGCAGCAGUGGGGAAUUUUGGACAAUGGGCGCAAGCCUGAUCCAGCCAUUCCGCGUGCAGGAUGAAGGCCUUCGGGUUGUAAACUGCUUUUGUACGGAACGAAACGACCUUCUCUAAUACGGGGGGUUAAUGACGGUACCGUAAGAAUAAGCACCGGCUAACUACGUGCCAGCAGCCGCCGUAA
rnacentral:rRNA from 1 species